AGAAAACGUGACGAAACGUAAUGAACAACGUAAGUGUCUGAAAAAGGGAGAUAUCCUCAGCGUAAGUGUCAGUGAAAAAGCGAGAUGCAAGAUUCUUUAGAAAUUAAAAUACGCCGACUGCGCUGCCCGCUAGAGCUGUCAAAACAUCGGAGCACUAUCGAUCGUCUCGAUUGUUGGAACCAUUUUUCAAAACAUCGAUCUUUUUUGCAUUAUCGAUGUUUUGAAAAAGUUAUACUGCAAAUUUUGCGUUGCAGGUUUGAUAUGCCUUUAAAAAUACACAGAGUAUGCGAUACAACCUACGGUGUCAAGAAUUGCACAACAGUAGUCAGAACUAAAGACGUUAAAAACUUUAGGAAUAUUUGCAGUCGAAAAUAUUCACAGCGUCCAUAAAAAUACAUUGGCAGAUGAAUCUUGUCAAAACGAAACUACGGAACAGACUCCAGCUAAAAUCGUUAAAGGCUAUUUUAAGCAUCAGCUUUGUUUUUAAAUUCAUAAUCAGUUAUUUCUUAAUUAUAAAACAUACUUUUAAUUUCGCAAAUAUGGAUUGCGCAGGCACGGAGAGUGUUGGCACUCAUACAACCUGAAGCGAAGAAAAUUGUGAAAUCUCAGAUUUGCUUAAAGAUCUAGUUUAAGAAAAAAGUACAAAAACUGCUAAAUUCAUUAGUUUUCUUGCAUGCUGGGAUAUAGCUUAUUUUUAGUUUAUUUUUAUCUUAUUUUUUCAGGUUCUAGCUUAUUUGGCAGCUUAGCUGCGAAAGAAGAGUACAGCUAGCAGGGGUUGUUUUAAAAAAAUGAAUUUCUAAAGGAAACUGAAACUGCCUUCGGAUUUGGUUUAAUAUUGAUGAAAAUAAGAAGUCUUUUAACAAAUUUAAUUUAAACUAAGAUUUGAAAAGAUUUUACUUUAGAAGGUUUACACCUCACUUGUUUUGACGUGUAAGCAGAUGCCACCAACCAUCUCUUCCAUCUCUAUUUCCGUAUGCGAUCGAGGUGCGUGUAUUUGCUGGGAUGGGAUUGGGGAUCGGCUAACUAUUUUAUAGCAAGUUAUUAUUUAAUAUAAGUUUUCAGUGUCUUAUUAAAUUUGAAUUGUUUAACUCAGUUUGUGGGCUCGGAAAACUUUACGUUUCCGUUCUUAGACUAGGUACAGUUUAAAAAUAUAAAAUUAAAAUGGAAAAAUGUAAAUAUAUAUUCUGGCGCACCAAACAUUUUUUUUUAGAAUACUAAUAAAUUUAUGCCAAUGUUAAGUGGUUUGUUAAACUUUUACUGUUUAUAAUUAACAACUUUAACAUUGACCUAAACCAAGCUGCGUUCCACAGAGGGAACAAAUACAUUUAUUAUUUACCUAAAGAAAAAGCAGUAGCACAUUGAAGAAUUCGACAAUGAAACGCAUUGUUGUAAACAUACCUCGACUCAUUAGUUCCUUCCUUGUGUACAAUAGACUGAACAUAAUAAACGUUUUUCAUCACACGAUUCAAAUGGAAAAUUUAA